GGCCUGCCUAAGAAUCUACGUAUUCCUAAUGUUUUUCACACCUCAUUGUUGAAACCUUUCGUACGCAACCGCUAUACCCGGCAUACUCCUCCUCCCCCUCCUAUCUCGGUGGAGGGUCAUGAGGAGUUCGAAGUGUCUGCUGUUCUUGACUCUCGUUUCCUUAGGGGUCGACUUCAGUACUUGGUACAUUGGAAGGGUUAUGGGCCUGAG